GUUAACCUCCAUACCACGUAGGGAGCACCAGUUCUCGUCUGAUUACCAAAGCUAAGCUACGCCGGGCCGGGUUAAUACUUACACGGGUGCCCGGCUGGAAGUGCUCGGUGUUGCCGGCC
rnacentral:rRNA from 1 species